CCUACGGGUGGCAGCAGUGGGGAAUAUUGGGCAAUGGAGGCAACUCUUACCCAGCAAUGCCGCGUGAGUGAAGAAGGUCUUCGGAUUGUAAAGUUCUUUAAUCGGGGACGCAAAAAAUGACGGUACUAAAGCAAUAAGCCCCGGCUAACUACGUGCCAGCAGACGCGGGAAGACGUAGGGGGCAAGCGUUGUGCGGAAUGACUGGGCGUAAAGGGUGUGUAGGCGGGGUAGCGAGAUAGAAGUGAAAUACCUAGAGCUUAACUCAGGUGCUGCUUCUGAAACUGCUAUGCUUGAGUGCAGUAGAGGAAAGUGGAAUGCCUAGUGUAGCGGUGGAAUGCGUAGAUAUUAGGAGGAACAUCAGUUGCGAAGGCGGCUUUCUGGACUGUAACUGACGCUGAGGCACGAAAGUGUGGGGAGCAAACAGGAUUAGAUACCCUAGUAGUC
rnacentral:rRNA from 1 species